CAGAAUAUAGUUAAUAUAUUAUAAUGUAAAUUUUGGGGAUUUAAGUAUUUUUAUAAUUUUCUGU
rnacentral:tRNA from 1 species